GGAAAUCCAUUGCCCUAGUUUCACCCCCAGGAAUCUCUCAUGAUCAAGCUACUUAGCACUCAGCCUACAGCAAUUUGUCGAAAUUACUAGAAAAAGUAGUGGUUCUACAACCUUUGGCUUCCACUGGCUUCUGCUUCAGUAUUUGCAGGCCAUCUCGAGAGAGAGGAAGAAAAAUACGCUGCGUAUAUCACAUAUGAUGUCUGAACCCUGUUGUUAUCAUCACUCAUGGGUGAGAUGGGGAAUAACAAGGCAUGAGUUAUCCCUCACCUCCUCAUUCACAGAGAUAAAAACAUAGAAAUGCCAUCCCGACAUUUAAGUAAGAUAUACAUACCAAGAAUGGUGAAGAACAAUAAAUUGCCCCAGUAACUCCUAUAUUCCUUCUACAAUAAAAUGGUAGACUUGAGGAAAGCAACACAAGCCUUUGGAAUAAAAUC
rnacentral:lncRNA from 1 species